AUGCAUCUCUGACAGACCUGGAGAAGUUAAUGUCUGCUGCUAAAGUUUCCACUACAGAUGCAAGAAAAAGAAGGUCUUUGUGACUUCUGUCGAUCUGAUUGUAUCAGCCAGGAUUGAAUGGGGGAACUUUCU
rnacentral:snoRNA from 1 species